CAGGUACUCCCUCCGUCCGGAAAUACUUGUCGGAGGAAUGGAUGUAUCUAGACAUAUCUUAGUUCUAGAUACAUUCAUUUUUAUCCAUUUUUUCGACAAGUAUUUCCGGACGGAGGGAGUAUUAG
rnacentral:pre_miRNA from 1 species